UGUGAGGUGUUACAGUUAUGAGGUGUAAGAGUUGUGAGGUGUUACAGUUAUGAGGUGUAAGAGUUGUGAGGUGUAAGAGUUGUGAGGUGUUACAGUUAUGAGGUGUUACAGUUGUGAAGUGUUGUAGUUGUGAGGUGUAAGAGUUGUGAGGUGUAAGAGUUGUGAGGUGUUACAGUUAUGAGGCGUUACAGUUGUGAAGUGUUGUAGUUGUGAGGUGUUACAGUUAUGAGGUGUUACAGUUGUGAAGUGUUGUAGUUAUGAGGUGUUACAGUUAUGAGGUGUAAGAAUUGUGAGGUGUAAGAGUUGUGAGGUGUUACAGUUGUGAGGUGAAAGAGUUGUGAGGUGUAAGAGUUGUGAGGUGUUACAGUUGUGAGGUGUUACAGUUAUGAGGUUUAAGAGUUGUGAGGUGUUACAGUUAUGAGGUGUAAGAGUUGUGAGGUGUUACAGUUAUGAGGUGUAAGAGUUGUGAGGUGUUACAGUUAUGAGGUGUAAGAGUUGUGAGGUGUUACAGUUAUGAGGUGUAAGAGUUGUGAGGUGUUACAGUUAUGAGGUGUUAACAGUUGUGAAGUGUUGUAGUUGUGAGGUGUUACAGUUAUGAGGUGUUACAGUUGUGAAGUGUUGUAGUUAUGAGGUGUUACAGUUAUGAGGUGUAAGAAUUGUGAGGUGUAAGAGUUGUGAGGUGUUACAGUUGUGAGGUGAAAGAGUUGUGAGGUGUAAGAGUUGUGAGGUGUUACAGUUGUGAGGUGUUACAGUUGUGAGGUGUUACAGUUGUGAGGUGAAAGAGUUGUGAGGUGUAAGAGUUGUGAGGUGUUACAGUUGUGAGGUGUUACAGUUAUGAGGUUUAAGAGUUGUGAGGUGUUACAGUUAUGAGGUGUAAGAGUUGUGAGGUGUUACAAUUAUGAGGUGAAAGAGUUGUGAGGUGUUACAGUUAUGAGGUUUAAGAGUUGUGAGGUGUUACAGUUAUGAGGUGUAAGAGUUGUGAGGUGUUACAAUUAUGAGGUGUAAGAGUUGUGAGGUGUUACAGUUGUGAGGUGUAAGAGUUGUGAGGUGUUACAGUUAUGAGGUGUUACAGUUGUGAAGUGUUGUAGUUGUGAGGUGUUACAGUUAUGAGGUGUUAUCGUUAU
ensembl:lncRNA